AACCGGUCACCGGUGUCACCCUGGUGAAGACCGAGUGGCGCACGGGUGAGUAUCACGUGAUCAAUCUGCCCCGAAGAUCGGGAUAAGCCUGUGAAACCGGGUCUAAUGACCGGAUGCCCCCACCGGGCUGCAUGACCUGGUGAGGAAAUGGAUUCCGCUUCGGGAGGGGCUCGCGGCCUAUCAGCUUGUUGGUGGGGUAACGGCCCACCAAGGCGUCGACGGGUAGCUGGUCUGAUAGGACGAUCAGCCAUCACUGGGACUGAUACACGGUCCAUACUCCUACGGGAGGCAGCAGUGGGGAAUCUUGCGCAAUGGGCGAAAGCCUGACGCAUCAACGCCGCGUGAGGGACGAAGGCCUUCGGGUUGUAAACCUCUUUCAUCAGGGACGAUUGUGACGGUACCUGCAUAAGAAGCCCCGGCCAACUACGUGCCAUCAGCCGCGGUAAU
rnacentral:rRNA from 1 species